CCUACGGGUGGCAGCAGUGAGGAAUAUUGGUCAAUGGACGAGAGUCUGAACCAGCCAAGUAGCGUGAAGGAUGACUGCCCUAUGGGUUGUAAACUUCUUUUAUAAAGGAAUAAAACGAGGCACGUGUGCCUUUUUGCAUGUACUUUAUGAAUAAGGAUCGGCUAACUCCGUGCCAGCAGCCGCGGUAAUACGGAGGAUGCGAGCGGUAUCCGGAUUUAUUGGGUUUAAAGGUUGCGUAGGCGGAUUGUUAAUUCAGCGGUAAAAUGUCCGGGCUCAACCCGGGCCGGCCGUUGAAACUGGGGAUCUUGAGUGGGCGAGAAGUAUGCGGAAGGCGUGGUGUAGCGGGGAAAUGCAUAGAUAUCACGCAGAACUCCGAUUGCGAAGGCAGCAUACCGGCGCUCAACUGACGCUCAUGCACGAAAGUGUGGGUAUCGAACAGGAUUAGAUACCCCAGUAGUC
rnacentral:rRNA from 1 species